rnacentral:rRNA from 1 species
GCUGCUGCUGGCCUCCUCAUUUGAGGGGUGUAAUGUGCACGCUUGUCAUCUUUAUCAUCUCUCCAACUGUGCACAUAUUGUAGACCUGGAAGAAAGCUUUUGAAUUCAUUUUCGAGUUGGGACUGCUGUGCUUUUGAUCAAAGUCGGCUUUGCCUUGAAAUUUCCAGGUCUAUGUCAUUUUCACAACCUCUUGAUAUGUUUAGAAUGUUGAACCAUAUAAAAAAAUAUACAACUUUCAGCAACGGAUCUCUUGGCUCUCGCAUCGAUGAAGAACGCAGCGAAAUGCGAUAAGUAAUGUGAAUUGCAGAAUUCAGUGAAUCAUCGAAUCUUUGAACGCAUCUUGCGCUCCUUGGUAUUCCGAGGAGCAUGCCUGUUUGAGUGUCAUUUAACUUCUCUCAACUGCAUCACUCAGUCUGAUGUGGCUUGGACGUGGGGCUUGCAGGCUUUGAAUGAAGUCUGCUCCCCUGAAAUGAAUUAGUGGUAUCUGAGCUGCCAAUAGGUGUGAUAAUUAUCUACACCUUUUGGUCAUGCUGGUUGUGCUGCUUCUAACAAACACUUGUUUGACAAAUUUGACCUCAAAUCAGGUAGGACUACCCGCUGAACUUAAGCAUAUCAAUAAGCGGAGGAAAAGAAACUAACAAGGAUUCCCCUAGUAACUGCGAGUGAAGCGGGAAAAGCUCAAAUUUGAAAUCUGGCAGCUCUCGAACUGUCCGAAUUGUAAUCUAGAGAAGUGUUACCUGUGCUGGACCAUGUACAAGUCUUCUGGAAUGGAGCAUCACAGAAGGUGAGAAUCCCGUCUUUGACAUGGACUGCCUGCACGUUGUGGUGCGCUCUCGAAGAGUCGAGUUGUUUGGGAAUGCAGCUCAAAAU